rnacentral:rRNA from 1 species
CCUACGGGUGGCAGCAGUGAGGAAUAUUGGUCAAUGGGCGCGAGCCUGAACCAGCCAAGUAGCGUGAAGGAUGACUGCCCUACGGGUUGUAAACUUCUUUUAUAAAGGAAUAAAAUGAGGCACGUGUGCCUUUUUGUAUGUAUUUUAUGACUAAGGAUCGGCUAACUCCGUGCCAGCAGCCGCGGUAAUACGGAGGAUCCGAGCGUUAUCCGGAUUUAUUGGGUUUAAAGGGAGCGUAGAUGGGUUGUUAAGUCAGUUGUGAAAGUUUGCGGCUCAACCGUAAAAUUGCAAUUGAUACUGGCAGUCUUGAGUACAGUAGAGGUAGGCGGAAUUCGUGGUGUAGCGGUGAAAUGCUUAGAUAUCACGAAGAACUCCGAUUGCGAAGGCAGCCUACUAAACUGCCACUGACAUUGAUGCUCGAAAGUGUGGGUAUCAAACAGGAUUAGAUACCCGAGUAGUC